UAGGUAACAUUGUUGUUGAACUAAUUUAACUGUCCAAAACUAACUAAUGUAACUGUUAGGAAACCUAAUUUUACUGUUUAACUGGUAAUCAGGACUGUUAAGAGUAUUGGAUAAUGUUAUAGGUCAUAUAAUCUUUCAGGUAACUAUAUGUCAGUGAGUUAUGCUUCCCUUGUGUUUUGGCCUGUGUAUUUAUCAGGGUGGGUUUUGGGUCUGGGUUGGUAAAUACACAGGCCAAAACUUUCAGUAGCUGUAUAGAACUGCUGUAAAGCAGAGCAGUUGUACAACCAUACAACUGCUUAAAAACACAGCAGUUCUAUACAGCUACUGAAACAUAUACAUGUGUGUAUAUAUACAGCAUUACAGUGUAUAUAUACACGUACAUCUUUCUGUGUACAAAGCUGUACUGCUACAGUGCAGUGCUGGACCACACAGAGACAUGUUCUACUUCCUGCCAGUCCCAGUCAUUCUUCAAAGCAGACGAUGAGAUAACUCCUGCCAACCUUUGCCUCACCUUCUCUGUGACUCUCGGACACUGGAUCAGCUGACUACAGCAAAGACAUCAUCCUGCCACAGACCAGUCAUCACAGCACCAUCCUGACUGUUGAUCAACAGCAGAGUCAUCAGUGCUGGACCACACAGAGACCCUGUUCCUCCUCAGUGCUCAGGCUUCUUCACAACAGAGCAGAAGGUCUUCCUUCACUGUGAUUCUCCACUUCACAGUAGAGACCACUGCACAGCUCCACAAGCUAGUGAACUAUGUGAGAUGGCACUGUGUGCUUCCUCUCUGCAACAUCAAGCUCAUCCUCCAACACGUGUUAAAGGUCUCUGCACCUCUGUGUCCUCCAUUUUCAUUGACACUGACCAGAUGACUGAAAGCAGAAGCUCUACAGCCACUGGAAAGGUCAAAGGUCAGUCCAUCUUCAUGCUGACACUGUGCUCUGUUGACAGUUUUGGUUUGUGCCAACAACUGACUGAAGAGCAUCAUGACAGAACAAACUAUGAACCCUGGACAGA